UAGGGAAUAUUGGGCAAUGGUCGAGAGACUGACCCAGCCAUGCCGCGUGAAGGAAGAAGGCUUUCUGAGUUGUAAACUUCUUUUAUCUGGGAAUAAAAUACCCUUGCGAGGGGAACUGAAGGUACCAGAUGAAUAAGCACCGGCUAACUCCGUGCCAGCAGCCGCGGUAAUACGGAGGGUGCAAGCGUUGUCCGGAUUUAUUGGGUUUAAAGGGUGCGUAGGUGGCUCAUUAAGUCAGUGUUUAAAGUCAACAGCUCAACUGUUGGAAUGGCAUUGAUACUGAUGAGCUUGAGUAAAGUUGAGGUAGACAGAAUUGAUGGUGUAGCGGUGAAAUGCAUAGAUAUCAUCAAGAAUACCGAUUGCGAAGGCAGUUUACUAAGCUUUAACUGACACUGAGGCACGAAAGUGUGGGGAUCAAACAGG
rnacentral:rRNA from 1 species